rnacentral:lncRNA from 1 species
AAAGAGGAUAUAACAGAUGUAGACCCUGCCUCUGCAGUUGGUCUCCUGGCUGCAUCUGGGCCUCAUUUUCUCUCUCUUCUAUAAUUCAUUCCAGCGGACAACUCUGCAAAGAGUUUAAACUCUUGUCUGUAAUGACCUUUUCAGGCUGUUGUUGCUAUCCUUUUUCAUUUACCAUUAGAACUGGUCAAAGAGGUAUCUACAUGCCAAAGAUAUUCUUCCUGCCCCCAUAGCAUAACAAGCAGCUCUGUCAUUACUGAUCAGAACAGUUCCCCCUGACAUAGCCUCCCACAUAGCCUAAGAUCCACAGGAUGGCAAAGGAUGUGUGAAAGUGAGCAAAUGCUGUGGGGUGUGCUGGUCCUUCCAUGGCAUACCACCAGAAAGUCUUUGUAGAUCCUCAAAAGGUGGUAUGGGCUGAUGCCUUACAGGCAGGAAAGGCAGCUCAUACCUGAAAAGUCAUGACACUAAUCCAAAGUAAUAUUUGUUCAUUUCAGGGUAGAAAAUGUCUGAUGUAGUCAGCUUGCCACAAAACAGGUGUCCUUGUAGAGAGGGAUCAUUUUGGGGAAUGAACACUGGUCUCUGUUGCUGACCAUGUGGUCAUUCAGGAGUGGUAGUAGUGACAUGAGUCCUGAUGGAUGGGAACUAAUCCUCUUAGGAUGCAUCGCUCCCAUUCCUGCCUCCAUGGCUACUCUGUUCAGACACCCAUUAUACUAGCCCUUCAGUCGUCAGUGACUGAGUGAUACCAGUGGCUAAGUCAUUCCGUUUACUUGGAUGUUUAGUGAUUAUUCCACCAUGGCAUCAGCCUUCGGGUGGGCACACAUCUUGACGUUCCAUGCUCACUCCCAUGGGUCCAUCCACAAGUUUCUAUUCAGACCUCCUUGUCUCUGAUCUUCCACAUCUCCUAGGUCCUGACAAACUGGCCAAAUUACUGCCUGCAGGUCCAUAUGUAUUAUAACCUUGGACCGUUUCUUUCACAUCAAGAAUUACUGGGGACACCAUCUGAAAGUUCUGUUCACUGGGAGGGUCACUCCUCACCACUGUCUUUCUGUGCUAUCAUGAUUAGGACCAUAGAUGUGCUGUCUUUCAAUCUAAGCUUCACUUACUUGCUAAAUCAGCCCAUCCAUGCACCAAGUUCACUUUUGACCUUCUUCAGUGGUUGGUAAUAAAGGGCAUUCAUGCAACCCUAAGUGUGAGCCAAGAGAAACAUGCUGGGGAAGAGAAAUAGAUGACAUGGUGGUCUGGCUUGGUGCCUUGUGCUGAUGGCUUGUUCCUGCUGACCCUUGAUCCCAGAUGCACCACGUCCUGUUUAUGAUGGCCAUCCAAUUAACAUUGUGACUUGGUGGUUCUAACAGAACGCAGAUCAUUAUGGACAAUGUUGACCUUGUGUGCUGUGCCAGCGUAAGGCCCUUCCUUUCUAGCUGGACUCAGUAGCAUGCCAGGAAAAUUUUCAGAGAGUUGUAUAUUUCUCUGCUUCAGAUGACAUGGUGUUGCCUCCAAACUUUGAAUGUCUGCAACGUAUUGUUCCCAUUGGUGAUUAUCAGUGAAAUCUGCAUGACAUCUUUUUCCAUCAAUGAUACUGCUAAGAGCAUAGGGUCCCUGAGGUUAUAUGGUCCAAGAGGCAGGCCCACUUGUCUGCUAUCUAAAUCCACUGUAGAACCCUUUCUUGCUCUGGGCCCCGUUCAAAAUUAGAAGCCUUACAUGUUGCCCAAUAUGUAGUCACAGUUCUAUUUCCAGGUGUGGAAAAGGCUGCCUCCAGAACCCAAAGAAGCCUGUCCCCCUCCCUCUCCCCCAUGGGAACCAUUAGUUUACUUCCUCUAUCUGUGAGUCUCCCACACCCCAUUGGCUCUGUUUAUCUUCAUCCAACUGACCAGAUAUCCUCCAAUUUAGAUUCUUGUUCUUUGAACCUAUAUUCAUGUGUCUCUUUAUGCUUCUUUGUGUAAAAUACUUCUAGGGCAUUAGUUAUAUAAUAUCUGGUCCAUUUCUUUGUGCACAUUUGUCUCACUUUCCUUCUAUGGAAACAGUGCAAAUAAUGAAUCUAGCCAGAGUAGACCCUUGCUUCUGGCUCCCUGCUCCUCCUCUGGAGAAAAGGUUGAAAAUUCUUGUAAGUUGGCUUGCUCAGUGUCUUCAUAGUUUCUCUCUGAAAAUUAGGAGCUCUGUUAUUUUUGAAAAAUACAUUAAAUUAUUAAUAUCUAUCUUAUCAAGACAUAAACUAGCAAGACCAGUUCUUAUUAUAAUUCCUUGUGUCAUACCAGACAAAUUUGUGUUUGCUCGUAAUAAAAUAAUGUUCCUGUUCCAUGUGCUGAUUCUAGACAUGGCUUUAUGCCCAUUGAACUCACACAUCUGCUUCCAAGCUGUUUAUGUGAGAAACUUUCUGAUAAAUUAUGUUUCUGUGAAUGAAUUCAUGUUUCUCUAUAUUUUCAACAGGAACAAAUUAAUUUUUUAAUUGAGCAGUCAAAUGACCUGUUCUUCCAAAAUACAUGUUCAAAUAAGAUGGUUACAAAUGGCGACGAUGAUUAAGAGGCUCUUUGCAGGAAUUUUUUUCAUUUGCUUAAGAUAUCUGACAAACUUGUCUUAGUAGAAAUAUGUGGCACCAAAUAAAUUAUUGUAGAAUGACAUUAUCUGGAAAAGGAUUGUAGUUCUUGAAGGAAAUUAAACCAAAUAUAACAAAGCACCACAUUUUAUCAUAUCAAAAGACAGAAUCAGAAACUAAAACAAACACUGACCAAACUAAUUUCAACUUGCAUGACUUCUUUCAACUUGUAUGAUUGUAGUUAAGAACUAUAGUGGUGAUAAUUCUGGUGAUAGUUUCUGAAUGGUGUCACAUGUCCACACAUCUUUUUUCUACUUGUAAUUUUUAAGAGAAGGAAAAUCUCUCAUCUUUCCUGAUGCCUUUCUUAUUGGAAUUCAGCAUGCUUUGACCUUAUCAUGUUUGAAAUUUCAUGAUGUAUGAAAUUGAUAUGGUGAUAAAAUGCCUUUAAAAUUUUCUUUGAGCAAUUUCUACUUUUCCUUCGCUUCUGUCAUGAAAUUGAAGCUUAGCUAUAGAAUUUAAGCUAUAAAACACAAACGUGGAGUCUGUCUAGUCUUAAAAUCUAUAAUUUGAAGGGAAGUAUUUCCUGAGAUAUAAUAUUAUACAAACAAAAUUGCAACUAAAUGACUAAAAAGUCAUAGUUAUACACAUGCAACUAUUUUUUGCUUUUCUGCUGAAGAAGUAGGUAUGGGGAGAGGUUUAGAAUCCCCUAUUGAUUCCUAGACAGCUCAGGGAAACCAAGCUGGACCUCCAGCUAUUUUCUCCAGCCUUCAUGUAUUAUCCUUUUAUUACCUGUAUAAAAACAGUUUGAGUUCUUAGCUCCAGACUGUAGGAAGUUGAAUCUUUUAAGUGUAUGCCUCCUCCCCCUAAGACCUUCUGGUGGCCCCGAAGGAAUGGUGUCAUAUGCUAUAAUCCCAUCUUGGUCAUUACAUGUUACUCAGCCAGCUGGCCGUGUUAGACCUUCACUCUAGUGACAAAACUGGGGUCUCGUUUAAGCUAAGUAGAUUCGCUGUUUGUUUUUUGUUUUGUUUUGUUUUUUAUAGCCAGCUUCUUCUCGAUCCCACUCAGGAUUUUUGUUUAUUUCAUUAAAUACAGAGAAGACUUUAUGUAAUAUGUAAGAAAAAAAAAUAUGGACAUCGUGAGAGUAACAUAAAUAUUCACAAAGCAGCAAAAGUGAAUUCAAUCUGAUAUUGGUUAAUGCAGCUCCUAGAGUCCACCAAUCAUGCCCCUUCAAUGAGUUAUUCUGUUUAGUCUUCUGUCCCACUGUCCCUCCACCCAAGGUGGGACAAUCACCUUCCCACUCCCCAGACAUAAAGCCCAUAGCCCAAGGGGAAGCACAGUUCCUUGCCAACAAUGGGUUUCCUUCUGCCCCAGGAUGAAUGACACUCAUAUUAUUGAGUCAAAUAUUUACCUCAGACACAGAAUAGAGCCUAGUUUCCAAGUCUUCGCCAGGGCAAUUAAAAGGUUGACAGUGAAUUUCCUAGAGUAUAGGGUAUCCAUCUUUGCUGAGUACCACGUGGAGAAUUUUGACAUUCUCUCUGGUACAUUCCAUAGACUCACCCCUGCAUUAACACGAAGAUUCGCCUCAUCUUUCAUGCUCUACUUCAUCCCAGCUGUGCCUCGAUAUGCAUCUUGCUCCGGUUGGCCUCUCCCAGUUUUGAAGAAUAGCAGCACAAUCCACCUAGCUGCCAAAACUUGAAAUCAAAUCAGGUGCCUUUUCAUCACACUCCCUAUUUGAUUCAUCACCAAGACAUGUCCAUUUGUCCCUUAACCUAUAUCAUAGGCCUCUCUACUUCUCUCAUUCUCCCAAAGCCUUGCUCAAGUGGUUGUCAUCACUUGGAUGGUUGGUCCACGGCAGUGUCCCCCUAGUUAGUUUAUCCUAUGAGAACCACAACCCCCUGACCUCCUAGCCAUUCCCUGCUCUGAAAACCUCUCUCUGUGUCAUCUCACACUCACUGUCCAUCUUUAGAAGCUUCUCUUUCUUUGAUCUGAAGAUGAUCAUGGGGACCAUAUAUUCUAUACAGGUUACCUUAGUGUUCAGCUUAAUUAUAAGUGUAUCAUAUUUCACUAUCAAGAAUGUUCCAUUUUUGGCGUUCUCGCCAUAGCACAGUGGGCUAAGAUGCAAACUGCAGUGGCUUGGGUGCUGCAGAGGUAUGUGUUCGCUCCCUGGCCCAGGACAGUGCACAGGAGGUUAAGGAUCCAGUGUUGCUCUAGCUGUGACGUAGGUCACAGCUGUGGCUCAGAUUCAAUCCCUGGCCCAUCUGCUUAAUGAUAAAUUAGGUGGUCGACCUAAGCAUAAUUGUGAUCUGGCUCCAGCCUCAUAGCAGACAGAGAUACCUCCCCACAAAGCUUCUUUUUGUUCUCUUCCAUUUAUUUUCCAUUUCACAGGUUAUGCCUGCAGUUCCUUUGUAGUAAAUUCUUUCUUCUCAGAUUAAUUAGUUAGGUCAUCCUCCUCUUUUUGAGCGUCACUGUUUCGGCAAAGAUUCUCUGGUCUCCAAUGCUAGAUCAGAUUCUCCUGCUGAAACACCUGACUCACAGCACCCUGAGGUGUGUCUCUCUGUUUCACAUUGUCUCACCACCAACACAGGGUCUGGUUAACAGCCACCCAAUAGAGUUAUUGAAUGUUAUAGAUUAACUAAAUAAUGACUGAGCAAUGAUUGCUUUCUGUGUACAUAUAAUUGAUAUAAUUGGAGGGUCAAUGUCUCACGACCUACCCCAUAAGAGAGUAAGGCUGCUGUGAGGAAAAAUAAUUACCUUUAUCUCCAGAACCUGAAGACUAUUAGCACCAUUUAAAUGUGGCCUCUAUUAUUAGCAAAACAGAUUAACCCACUCCUCACACCACUGUACUAAUCAAUAAAGCAGCUUUAGUCAGCAUCUUGGUUACUAUUACCUUACUAAAAAAGCCAAUCUUUUGCUGUCUUACAAACAAGCAAACAAAACAAAUGGCCAAUGUGUGCACUGAAAAUUUUGUUCUCUACUAGUUGUAUUUUUUACCUGUCUAGUACUUGUAUCUCUUAUUUGCCCUUAGUGAAACAUUAGCCUCCAGCCUACUUUUUUACAUGUUGUAAAGAGUGCUAGCCUGGAGUUCCCAUUGUGGUUCAGCGGUAAUGAACCCAACUAGCAUCCAUGAUGACGCAGGUUCAAUCCCUGGCCUGGCUCAGUGGGUUAAGGAUCUAGUGUCUCCGUGGACCUGUGGUGUAGGUCAUAGAGGUGUCUGGAAUCUGGCAUUGCUAUGGCUGUGCCCAAUUGGACCCCUAGUCUGGGAACUUCCAAGUGCUGCAGGUGUGGCCCUAGAAAG